UGGAAGAGCUCAUCAUGGAAGAGAGGAGCGGAGUUGGCGACGAUCUCGAUGAUCCAGACCAUGGCGCUGACCAGGAUGGCUGCAGGAAGAGGGGAAAGAAACACUAGAGAUUCAGAUGUUGACAAUGUAAGGAGACGGGGGUGGCCAGGAACCGAACAGGGGUCUCACAGCUUGAAGACGUUUGCAUCUAUGAACACCUGAUUGUUGGAUCAUUUAAUUUAUUUUUGGCUUUUAAACACAAAUUUUAGACUUAAAACUUAUAAGAUUGGCAUUCAAAUGACAAGAUGACGUUUCUAAGUACCUUAAUUGUGUAUACAUUGUUAUUUCUAAGUAGAUUUGUUGAGGGUUUCUCUAGAAACUGCUUACUUAACCAAGAUGGAAAAAGAGUCCAAAAUAAAUCCUGCUAUUAGAAUCCAA